ensembl:lncRNA
GGAGUAUAAAACACUACACAGGCAUUAACAGCAUGAACUACUGCCUUCUUGCCUGUCGUUUGCAUUAAAAAUGGAGCAGUUUCAGAAAGGGCAUCCGUGCUCGAGACACCCUCCACAAGAGCAUCGAGAAAGCCAUCCGGGAGAAGCCGCUGUGCCUGCAGGGGAAGGAUUAUGCCGACGCGCUGGACGUGCUGAUGGACAGUGCCAAGGAGAACGGCACGGAGCUCAGCAUGCAGGAGCUCAAGUCCCAGAGAUGUUGAUUGUGGUUCCAGUUGCUGAUAUGCCUGUUAAGGUCAAAUCAUUGCUGAAUCAGAAUCCAGGGGAUUUACGGAUCUCUUUUUGGGGUCAAGAGACUAAAAGAAAGACCAUCUCUGGCAUAGGUGGGUAUUUUAUGUCCAAAGAGUUAAAACCCUCACCAGGACUUUUAACUCACAGGGUUCUGGUUUGAAAAGUAAAAAUCCUCUCCUGGAUUUUGUUAGGGCCACAAUCAGAAUUGAUUUUGAGGUCUGUUUACACUACUUAAUGUAGAUGGAGAUCAUUUAGAUGGGGCAGAGGUGGCCUAGCGGUCAAGGAAGCGGCCCCGUAAUCCCGAAUCUCCAAGGUGCCACAGAGCAAAGCACCGUCCCCACACACUGCUCCCCAGGUGCCCGUCAUGGCUGCCCACUGCUCACCGAGGGUGAUGGUUAAAAGCAGAGAACACGUUUCAUUGUGUCACUGUGUGCUGUGCUGCACUUUCACCAUCAUUUAAAUAAACUGAGUUGGCUUAAAAUCUGUUCGGGUUUAAGACUUUGUUACAAUGAAGAUCCAUUAAUUAGCCACAAUGAUUGUAGCAUGCACUUAAAGAUACCAUAUCAUACCAUAUUUAUUUAUAAAGCACUUUAACACAACAAAGGAGCUGACCAAAGUGCUGUACAUUAAAAUGAAAAAAAGUUACCAGGAACAAAACAGACAUGGACAAAAAGUUCAUUAAAAAUUAAGAACAAAAGAAAAACUGAAAAAAAUAAAACAUGCAGCAAUUUGAAUUUAAGCAAGGGGUUGAAAACAUGUUAAGACAACAUAUUAAAAGAGUUAAGAAAGGACUGCAUAAGAAGCCACAUAAAACACUGUAUAAGAACACCGUAUAAGAAACCACGUCACACUGGGUUAAAAGCCAGGGUGUAAAAGUGAGUUUUUAAACGAGAUUUAAACACAUUGACUGACGGCGCCUGUCUGACACUGAUUGGCAGGUCCUUCCAUAGACGUGGGGCGGCCACUGCAAAGGCCCGGCCACCCCUGUGCUUGUAAUGUGACCGAGGAACAGACAAUAGUCUCUGGUCUGAAGACCUGAGAGAACGGGAUGGAGUGUAAGAGAAGGUCUGACAAAUAGGCUGGAGCCGAGCCAUUCAGUGAUUUUAAAACAAUUGAAAUCAGUGAGAAAUGCAGUGGCAUUUUAUACUAAUUGAAGGCGAGCUACAGAUUUCUGGCUGAUCCCAAAAAGCAAUGAAUUACAGAAGUCAAGGCGGGACGUAAUGAAAGUGUCACAUGAUUCCAUCAUUUGACGGGGAGUUACACGGUGAAUCACUGUUUUCGAUUGGAAACGACUGGCUUGAGUUUGGUCAGGUGCCUCAGCUAAAAAAAGCUCGAUUUUACAAUAUUGUUAACCCGUGCAUCCAUUUUCAGAGUUGAGUCCAUUUUAACACCUAGGCUUGUAAUCAAUGAUUUUUCACAAGGGGCUAGGGGUGCGAGGUCAAUACGGGGGUCACCACGACCAAAAAGCAUACAUUCCCCUCUUACUCUCAAUUAGUUCCAGAAAAUUUAAGGCCAUCCACCUCUUGAUAUUAGUCAGACAAUGGAGGAGAGAUUGGAUAGAGCACACGUAAGGGGAAAGUCUACUUGAUAGUCUUCUGCAUAGAAAUGAAAAGAAACAUUGUGUUUUCAAAAAAUACACUUAAAGAUCAACUCUAAAGUGGGCAGCACAUCUUUCUGCCGCAAAAAAACACGAGCUAAAAACCGAUUUACGGCGCUUGAACUAUGUAUAUACAAAACACCAACUCAGUUUAAUUUAAAUGACUUAAAUUGAUGGGAACGGGAAGACAGUGACAGAUGAUUCCCAUUUAAUCAGCGCUGACCUGGAAUCCGUGCUCAGUCAUUGAGUUCAAUUCAUCUCAAGCUCAACUCUACUUGAUUCAGUAUCUAAGUAAGCCUGAUCCUGCUCCACCCAAACGUGUCCAAUUCUUGUUUAUUCCCCCCUCUCCUACGUAUAUACUGAUUCCUUUGUGCCAUUCUGCAAUUGGGUUCACUCAUUCGUGCGAACAUUUCAGUCAUCAAUUGAGUGAGUAAUCUGAACAAACCAAAAUUCAUCUUUCAGUGAGACUGGAGCAAAAUCCCAAAGAGGAUCUUUUACUCUCUGAACCUGAAAUGUCCAACCCUGUUCCAAAGAAGUCAGUGCAAGCAAAAUUCUAUAGUUGGGCAUUACUGUCAAUAAAUGGUACAGAUUAUGAACCUAGGAUUACUCUUCAUCUUGACUUGCAUUGCAUGAAAUAUUUGCUAAAUAAAUAUAGGCCUACGAUGGCAUUUGCUGUCAAAUCUUAACAGGUAACUACAACGGCCUGCAAAAUCAAGGAGCAACAUGCUAUUUGAAUUCAGCAUUGCAGAUCCUCUUCAUGACCAAAGAGUUUCGAGAGAACAUAGCAAGGUAUAUACCGUUGGGCUUUUAAAAGCAGUAAUAUUCACUUAAAUUUGUAGGGUGGUAAUAGCCCAGUGGGUAACACACUAGCCUAUGAACCAGAAGACCCGGGUUCGAAUCCCACUUACUACCAUUGUGUCCCUGAGCAAGACACUUAACCCUAAAAGGGGGAGGGAAGACUGAACCUGUAACUACUGAUUGUAAGUCGCUCUGGAUAAGGGCGUCUGAUAAAUGCUGUAAAUGUAAAUGUAAAUUUUACCCGAUGUGGUUAUAUGGUGAUUUAGCAUCAAGGAAGAAGAGAAUGAAGUUCUGGUUCAGCUGAAAAAGCUGUUUGAAAAUCUCCAAGUGGAAAAAAUCCAAGAGGAGAGUAAAACAAUCUCAACUCGUGGGGUAACCACAAGUCUCAAAAUUGACAAUGGUUAGUUGUAAUUUUAAAUUUAAUAUUAAUUAUUUACAGAAUCACAUGAAAUCAUAAUUCAUGAGUACUACUAUGUUUUUUUUAAGUUUACGAACAGCAAGAUGCAGUGGAGUGGCUCCGUAACAUCAUCUCAGCAGUGGGCAGCAGUGCACCAAAGGUAAUGUGCGGCUGGUGGCUUGAGCAAAUGGCUUGCAGCAAACGUGAAGUGAUGUCAGCGAAUGAGUUUGCAUUCAUCUGUUCAUGCCUCUGUCCUUUUAUACUGUGUGCUGUGUUGGGCGUAGCGUGGUGCCCUUCCGGCCUGACAGGGUCGGGUACGCCCCUGUGCCCCCUGGUGGCCCGUUGGGCGGACGACAACCGUGACGAUACUAUCAGUCAAGUUUUUAUCAGUCAAAUUUUUUACUUUAACUGGCUGCACACACACACGGAUGAUACCUGUACUUUUUUAUUCCACUUUGAGCACUUUGGCACUAAACAUGCACAGUAAGGAUCUGCCAACAAGAUUUGUUGUGUCAUUCACAUAACAACCGCACAGAAUCACUUUGCAUAUUUUAGGCAGAUUCUCUAGUUCCUUAAAAAUAAGAGAUCCAUUCAUCAAAAUGUUGCAAUUUUCUCGCGGCCAGUAAAAUUAUAUAUGUUCUUCGGUUCAUAUUAAGACGCUGAAAUGGACCUGUGUAUUACCCAUAUGGACGUUUUACCUAAAGAAGGGCUGAGUCUCUUUGUUAUAUCUGACAGUGAUUUGGGUGGGAACACCCAAUGUGUUCAUUUAACACUGGUACCACAGCAACCAAGCACCAUAACAUUUGAAGUUAGAUUUGGGAUGGAAUUUGCCUGUGUUAAAAUAGAAUGCUGUUUAAGUCUUAUGCAUCUACCACAUAGGCUAAUGGAUAAGGCGCCUGACUUCGGAUCAGGAGAUUAAGGGUUCGAGUACCUUUAUGGGGCAGUGGUGGCCUAGCGGUUAAGGAAGCGGCCCCAUAAUCAGAAGGUUGCCGGUUCAAAUCCGGUCCAAUCCGCCAAGGUGCCACUGAGGUGCCACUGAGCAAAGCACCGUCCCCACACACUGCUCCCCGGGCGCUUGUCAUGGCUGCCCACUGCUCACUCAGGGUGAUGGGUUAAAUGCAGAGGACAAAUUUCACUGUGCACUGUGUGCUGUGCUGCUGUGUAUCACAAGUGACAAUCACUUCACUUUUGAUCUGCGGUUUCACAAAAAAAGCCACUUUAUUGUCCACAAAGAGAAAUUCACUCUGGAAUUUGUUUCAGAAAAUAACACUUCUAUGUCCCCUUAAAUGCCAUGUCCGUGUGGACGCAAGCCAGAUCAGAUAAAAAUGUUCCAGUUUAAGAGGAAAAUGUUCUCCUGUAGACAGGACCUCGGUUGAAUUGUGUUGUGUUUCCCCACAACUAGAUGGAAGUUGGAAACAUGCACUGGCUCUCUCCUCAUUUCCCACCUCCCCAAUGAUACGCUUCAUUACGGUUUCUGCUUUUCUCUAAUGAUGCUGUUGUGCCUGUUUUCUGUAACUUUCCGUCAACUUCUGACUCUCUGUCCAAAUAGUGAACAUGUUUCAAAUGGCAAAGAAGCUGAAUAAAUAAAACAUGUUAAAUCGGUUGAGCAGAAGAAGCCUUUUAUUACUCUAUAAAGUUAUAUGUCCACAACGACCUGAGUAUUGAUUAUACUUAUCACCUAACCUUGUUUUAACUUUUGUGUUCUGCCAAUCUAAAUGCUUUAGGUUUUUGAGGUAACAGUCCAAAAACUAUUUAAGUGUUCAAACAAGCAUCAUAGUUCAUCACAGGAAGACAAAUUCACCAUCAUUCCUCUUUCUAUUGGUCCUGAGAAAAAGGAAAAAUAUAAUGUGGUAAGAAAACUUCGCCUUCUUGAUAUCUACAAUUCAUUCAAAUGGAAAGGUUUUUAUUAAAUGUGUUUAUUCAUACAAUUCAU